rnacentral:rRNA from 1 species
UACGUAGGGCGCAAGCGUUGUCCGGAAUUAUUGGGCGUAAAGAGCUCGUAGGCGGUUUGUCGCGUCUGCUGUGAAAGACCGGGGCUCAACUCCGGUUCUGCAGUGGGUACGGGCAGACUAGAGUGCAGUAGGGGAGACUGGAAUUCCUGGUGUAGCGGUGAAAUGCGCAGAUAUCAGGAGGAACACCGAUGGCGAAGGCAGGUCUCUGGGCUGUACUGACGCUCAUGCACGAAAGCGUGGGGAGCAAACAGG